rnacentral:lncRNA from 1 species
GAUACGAAGUGAAAAAACAUAAGGUCAAUCGUAACAUGCAAAAGAUGGGGCACACUGUAGGAUCGAGAAGCUUUCCACGGAUCAAAGUAAGAAUGGUAAGUGUUUGCCCUAUCUUACGAUACUACUCACUAUUUUGAGAACAUUUGUUUUGCUGAUUAUGGAUGAAUAGUAUGUAGGUUUUCAAGGUCUUGCUUCUAGAACUUAUGAAUUUUGAGAACAUUUGUUUUGCUUAUUAUAAUCACUAUUUUGGGAAUGCUUAUUUUGUUGGUUAUGGAUAAAUAGUAUGUAGGUUUUCAAGAUCUUGCAUUUAGAACUUAUGAAUUUUGAAGAAUACAUUAUAAAGCAUCGAAAACAAUAUUGUCAUGUCAUGUCAUUGGUUCAUAUAAAUCUGGAACCUUCCUUUCUAUCUUUAACUCAUUCCCUUGCAACAACAUUGGUUCAUACAUCCCAUUUCAUUUUGCUUUCGUUGUGAGGCACAAAUUAACAUAAGAAACUCCUUAUCCCCUAGAGAGUUGUUUCUAGUUUCUAGCCAUGAAUAGAAUGCCCUGGAGAUAAUAGCUUGUUAAACAACCAGCAAUCUCCAAAUUUAGCUAGAAUUUUCUUUUUCCUUGUAAGUGGCCGGCCUAGAAAUCUAUUGAUCGUAGUCUGUAGACCAUAGAUCAUUGAGCACUCCAACACAUGAUAUCUAAUCACAUAGCUGUCCAUUCAAUCUCAAACAAAUUCUAGUCAAAAUAAAAAGUAUCUUUUGCAAAGCCUUGGUUCAUUUUGGAUGAAGAACAUAGCAGAAACUAAAGGCAUACUAUGAAAAUCUAAAAAUCUGCAAAGCCUAUAUCUAAAAUUUUGAAAAUCUGUAACUACAUCUAAGAAUCUGAAAUUCUGAAAACUUAUAUCUAAAAAUCUGAAAAUCUGCAAAGCCUAUAUCUGAAAUUUUGAAAACCUGUAACUGCAUCUAAAAAUAUGAAAUUCUUAAAAUCUGUAUCUAAAAAUUUAAAAUCUGCAAAGCCUAUAUAUGAAAUUCUGAAAACCUGUAACUGCAUCUCCAAAUCUAAAAUUCUGAAAACCUGUAUCUGAAAAUUUGCAAACCUGUAUCUACAAACUGAUAUUCACAAAACCUGAAAACAGUAAAAUGUAACUGCAUUCCCUUUGCAGCUUUGGGCAUGGAAAUAAGCUGUCUCAGCUUGAUCCAUUAUCCUCCUUCUGUAAAUAUUCUCCCAUUAAUAAAAUUGGGGUGGUAUAACCUCUCACUUCAUCAAAAAAAAAAAGUAUCUUUUGCUCAUACUAGGAAUUUCAUCUUUACGAAAGAAGUUUCUUAAAACACUUAAAUAUUAGUUUUUAUAUGUAAAAAAAAUAUUAGUUUUACUCUAUCAUCUCUUCAACAUGAAAAAUAGCAACAUUUUAUGAUCUACCAAUUGCUCACUGUAUAAACAUGAAGAAGGCAUGUACUUUUCUUCAAGUUUGUUAAUAUGUGCAGUGAAUAAAGAGUUUUUUUAUUAAAAAUAGAUUAAAAGAAAAUCAUAACUAAAAAUUAUUCUUUCAUAUAAGGCCUCCUCGCAAACGAUCCCAUCAUGCAAAUUAUCCUUUCAUAAUUAUUGUUUUCAGAUCCAUAAUUAUUUUAUCAAUAUUAUCUUCUUUGUUAAUUGUAUGUAGGGAGAAAAAAUGGCUAAUGGAAGGGAACCAACAAGAGCUAAAAUUUUCAUUGGAACACAUGGAUGCAAAGAUGGGACCCUUAUAGAUUUGAAAUGCAACAAUAAAGAGAUUAUCUUAUUUAUUACUGAUUUACUAAUUAAAAUUUAUAUGACCAUCAAUACAGGCUGAGCUUGAAAGGCUUACCAAUCUGCAAUCAAAUUCCAAGGACAAUAUCAAUCCAAAUGAUAUAUCUCUCAAGUCUUUGGUAAGGAGAAACAUAGUCAUAUCAGGACAUGUGGAUUGGAUGUUUGUCCUACCGGUCUUUGGAGCAAAAUUCUAGUUCUGUAGAGAAUACAAAGAUGCAAAUGAGAUUCAUAAAUUUUUUAAAAAAAAGUUACAAUCUGUUUGACAAGAAAAUGCUGAUGUGAAAGUCCAGUUAGCAGAUUUAAAGGUAUUGGUUGAAUCUAUGCAAGACAGAUAGACUGAGGCCGACAAACAUGCCACAACUUCUCAAAUCAGACGAGUACAUUUAUUUUUAGCAAAUAUUUUUAUAAUUAUCUAAUUUGAAUGUAUAGAUGAAUCUUAACUCUUUAUUUCAUAUAGGAUAUUGAUGCCUCUAGCGAUAAUGAUGAGACACUGACACAAAAUUACUCUUCUUCAAAUCGUCAUAUUGCUACAUCCUGUCAAAUAUUUAGUUACACCUUUAAUUUUUACAUUCUUAUUAGUCUUGUUUUCUAAAAUCCUAUAAGCUUUUUUAAUUUGAUUUUUAUGCUCAUACAAAUAUGCUAUGUGCAUGUCAAUUAUGAUAGAAUGAAUAAGUGGGUUAGCCAAUUACUUAUUACAUGUACAUAUAUAUGAUUUUAAUUCACUCAACAAUUUCAUUUCUAACUCUAAAGCCGUAUUCUAUAUAUACUCAGAUGUAGACCAAGUCUAUUUGUCUUUUUUUUUUAAAUUGAAAUGAUUUUGUCUAUUUAGAUGCAGGGUAUUUCAAAAACGAUAAAGUUACAAUGUUUUAUUGAGGUAAACACUUAUGAACUUUUAAUUUAUUUUUUUAGUUCAUAUAGAUAUAGUUGCAAUCUAUUAAGCUUUUUUUAGCUUUUGAUUUAUUUUAUUUCUUGAUAAAUAUUAUAGAUUGGAAGCGAUGUUGUCUUAAAAUGCUAUAGGUUUCCCCACAAACCUAUUGCACGAGGAGUUUUACUUAGUAAAGGUCCACUCGCCAUGAUAGGAAAGGAUGCACUUGGACAUCAUUUUGGGAAGUACAAGUUAAUGUGGCAUGCGUACCUCAAGAGCCUUCAAUAAGACUAUGAGAUCGACUAAGAAGAAUUGUAGAUGCAGUGGGAUACUGGAUUGCCAGGCCUUCAACUUAUAUAUUAUACUAAUACAAAUUAUUUAUAUAUUUAUAUGAAUUUAUUUUUUAUGAUAAAUAAAAUAUCUAUGUAUCGUAAGCUAAUUAUGUAUUUCUUUAUUUUUACAGGUAGCAGUUGCUGAAGAUUAGUAGAAGAAAUCAUUUGCAAUUACCAUGCAUGGAUAUUGAGCAUAAAUAAUUUUAUUUGUUUCAAUAAAGAACUUCUUUAGUGUGGUUGUCAUGACUACAUUUGUUCGUGUAUGGGUUACCAUGUAAAG